rnacentral:rRNA from 1 species
GAUUUUCGACAAUGGGGGAAACCGUGAUCUAGCUAUGCCGCGUGUGUGUUGAAGUUUUUCGGUUUNUAAAGCACUUUAAGUUGGGANGAUGGGCUUUAGUUUAAUACUCUGAAGUUUUGACGUUACCAUCAGAAUUAGGACCGGCUAACUCUGUGCCAGCAGCCGCGGUAAUACAGAGGGUGCAAGCGUUUAUUGGAAUUAGUGGGCGUAAAGCGCGCGUAAGUGGUUCAGUAAGAUGGGUGUGAAAUCCCCAGGCUUAACCUGGGAACUGCGUUCAUAACUGCUGAGCUAGAGUACGGUAGAGAGUAGAGGAAUUUCCUGUGUAGCGAUGAAAUGCGUAGAUAUAGGAAGGAACACCAGUGGCGAAGGCGACUACCUGGACUGAUACUGACACUGAGGUGCGAAAGCGUGGGGAGCAAACA